GAAUCAAAUCUGUAGAUGCCGCUCUUCACUUCCGACUAGGCAGCUACACUAUAUUCUUCACUGGCCAUGAGUGUUGGAGGUACAAUGAGCAGCAGAAGACGAUGGAGGGAUUACCGACACUUAUAGAGCACCAGUGGCCGGGGAUUCCAUCUCCCAUAGAUGCAGCUGUCUUCUUAGAGGGACUUGUGCACUUCUUCAAAGGAAACGUCCACUACAAAUUUGACCCGAACUCCAAAUAUGUGACCACAAGCCCUGCCAAGGACAUGCUGGACUGCAAGAAGAAUGACGACAAGGAAAUACUGAAAAAGAGGAGAUGAUUGAAUUUGUAUUUGCUGUGUGUGAAAACACCAGUGUUACAAAACAUUUAUAAUCAGCAAUAACCACAAUGUACCUAAUACCAAAUAGGGAAGUGAUGGAUGAUUCAAGGCAGUGGUUAAAAGUAUUACAGUACCUCAUCGUGUUACACGGGUUAGUA